rfam:Dipodomys ordii contig_68927, whole genome shotgun sequence.
GGGAAUGUAGCUUAGUGGUAAAGCACUUGCCUUGUAUGCGUGAAGCCCUGGGUUCAAUUCCUCAGUACCA